GACGAACGCUGGCGGCGUGCUUAACACAUGCAAGUCGAACGGAAAGGCCAAGCUUUUGGGGGGUGCUCUAGCGGCGAACGGAUGAGUAACAAGUGAGUAACCUGCCCUCGACUUUGGGAUAACUACAGGAAAAUGGGGCUACUACCGGCUCGGAGCUUCUGCUGCACGGUGGGGGUUGGAAAGUUUCGGCGGGUGGGGAUGGACUCGCGGGUUGUCAGCGUGAUGGGGGGGUAGUGGCUUACCAAGGCUUUGACGGGUCGCCGGCCUGAGAGGGUGACCGGCCACAUUGGGACGGAGAUGCGGCCCAGACUCCUACGGGAGGCAGCAGUGGGGAAUAUUGCACAAUGGGCGGAAGCCGGAUGCAGCAACGCCGCGUGCGGGAUGACGGCCUUCGGGUUGUAAACCGCUUUCGCCUGUGACGAAGCGUGAGUGACGGUAAUGGGUAAAGAAGCACCGGCUAACUACGUG
rnacentral:rRNA from 1 species